UUAAGCGACUAAGCGUACACGGUGGAUGCCCUGGCAGUCAGAGGCGAUGAAGGACGUGCUAAUCUGCGAAAAGCGUCGGUAAGGUGAUAUGAACCGUUAUAACCGGCGAUGUCCGAAUGGGGAAACCCAGUGUGAUUCGUCACACUAUCGUUAACUGAAUACAUAGGUUAACGAGGCGAACCGGGGGAACUGAAACAUCUAAGUACCCCGAGGAAAAGAAAUCAACCGAGAUUCCCCCAGUAGCGGCGAGCGAACGGGGAGCAGCCCAGAGUCUGAAUCAGCUUGUGUGUUAGUGGAACGGUCUGGAAAGUCCGACGGUACAGGGUGAUAGUCCCGUACACCAAAAUGCACAGGCUGUGAACUCGAAGAGUAGGGCGGGACACGUGGUAUCCUGUCUGAAUAUGGGGGGACCAUCCUCCAAGGCUAAAUACUCCUGACUGACCGAUAGUGAACCAGUACCGUGAGGGAAAGGCGAAAAGAACCCCGGCGAGGGGAGUGAAAAAGAACCUGAAACCGUGUACGUACAAGCAGUGGGAGCACCUUCGGGUGUGACUGCGUACCUUUUGUAUAAUGGGUCAGCGACUUAUAUUCUGUAGCAAGGUUAACCGUAUAGGGGAGCCGCAGGGAAACCGAGUCUUAACUGGGCGUUAAGUUGCAGGGUAUAGACCCGAAACCCGGUGAUCUAGCCAUGGGCAGGUUGAAGGUUGGGUAACACUAACUGGAGGACCGAACCGACUAAUGUUGAAAAAUUAGCGGAUGACUUGUGGCUGGGGGUGAAAGGCCAAUCAAACCGGGAGAUAGCUGGUUCUCCCCGAAAGCUAUUUAGGUAGCGCCUCGUGAACUCAUCUUCGGGGGUAGAGCACUGUUUCGGCUAGGGGGUCAUCCCGACUUACCAACCCGAUGCAAACUACGAAUACCGAAGAAUGUUAUCACGGGAGACACACGGCGGGUGCUAACGUCCGUCGUGAAGAGGGAAACAACCCAGACCGCCAGCUAAGGUCCCAAAGUCAUGGUUAAGUGGGAAACGAUGUGGGAAGGCACAGACAGCCAGGAUGUUGGCUUAGAAGCAGCCAUCAUUUAAAGAAAGCGUAAUAGCUCACUGGUCGAGUCGGCCUGCGCGGAAGAUGUAACGGGGCUAAACCAUGCACCGAAGCUGCGGCAGCGACACUAUGUGUUGUUGGGUAGGGGAGCGUUCUGUAAGCCUGCGAAGGUGACCUGUGAGGGUUGCUGGAGGUAUCAGAAGUGCGAAUGCUGACAUAAGUAACGAUAAAGCGGGUGAAAAGCCCGCUCGCCGGAAGACCAAGGGUUCCUGUCCAACGUUAAUCGGGGCAGGGUGAGUCGACCCCUAAGGCGAGGCCGAAAGGCGUAGUCGAUGGGAAACAGGUUAAUAUUCCUGUACUUGGUGUUACUGCGAAGGGGGGACGGAGAAGGCUAUGUUAGCCGGGCGACGGUUGUCCCGGUUUAAGCAUGUAGGCUGGUUGUCCAGGCAAAUCCGGAUAAUCAAGGCUGAGGUGUGAUGACGAGGCACUACGGUGCUGAAGUAACAAAUGCCCUGCUUCCAGGAAAAGCCUCUAAGCAUCAGGUAACAUUAAAUCGUACCCCAAACCGACACAGGUGGUCAGGUAGAGAAUACCAAGGCGCUUGAGAGAACUCGGGUGAAGGAACUAGGCAAAAUGGUGCCGUAACUUCGGGAGAAGGCACGCUGGUGUGUAGGUGAAGUCCCUGCGGAUGGAGCUGAGACCAGUCGAAGAUACCAGCUGGCUGCAACUGUUUAUUAAAAACACAGCACUGUGCAAACACGAAAGUGGACGUAUACGGUGUGACGCCUGCCCGGUGCCGGAAGGUUAAUUGAUGGGGUUAUCCGUAAGGAGAAGCUCUUGAUCGAAGCCCCGGUAAACGGCGGCCGUAACUAUAACGGUCCUAAGGUAGCGAAAUUCCUUGUCGGGUAAGUUCCGACCUGCACGAAUGGCGUAAUGAUGGCCAGGCUGUCUCCACCCGAGACUCAGUGAAAUUGAACUCGCUGUGAAGAUGCAGUGUACCCGCGGCAAGACGGAAAGACCCCGUGAACCUUUACUAUAGCUUGACACUGAACAUUGAGCCUUGAUGUGUAGGAUAGGUGGGAGGCUUUGAAGCGUGGACGCCAGUCUGCGUGGAGCCAACCUUGAAAUACCACCCUUUAAUGUUUGAUGUUCUAACGUUGGCCCCUUACCGGGGUUGCGGACAGUGUCUGGUGGGUAGUUUGACUGGGGCGGUCUCCUCCCAAAGCGUAACGGAGGAGCACGAAGGUUAGCUAAUCCUGGUCGGACAUCAGGAGGUUAGUGCAAUGGCAUAAGCUAGCUUGACUGCGAGCGUGACGGCGCGAGCAGGUGCGAAAGCAGGUCAUAGUGAUCCGGUGGUUCUGAAUGGAAGGGCCAUCGCUCAACGGAUAAAAGGUACUCCGGGGAUAACAGGCUGAUACCGCCCAAGAGUUCAUAUCGACGGCGGUGUUUGGCACCUCGAUGUCGGCUCAUCACAUCCUGGGGCUGAAGUAGGUCCCAAGGGUAUGGCUGUUCGCCAUUUAAAGUGGUACGCGAGCUGGGUUUAGAACGUCGUGAGACAGUUCGGUCCCUAUCUGCCGUGGGCGCUGGAGAAUUGAGGGGGGCUGCUCCUAGUACGAGAGGACCGGAGUGGACGCAUCACUGGUGUUCGGGUUGUCAUGCCAAUGGCACUGCCCGGUAGCUAAAUGCGGAAGAGAUAAGUGCUGAAAGCAUCUAAGCACGAAACUUGCCCCGAGAUGAGUUCUCCCUGAGACUUUAAGUCUCCUGAAGGAACGUUGAAGACGACGACGUUGAUAGGCCGGGUGUGUAAGCGCAGCGAUGCGUUGAGCUAACCGGUACUAAUGAACCGUGAGGCUUAACCUU
rnacentral:rRNA from 1 species